GACGAACGCUGGCGGCGUGCCUAAUACAUGCAAGUAGAACGCUUAAGAGAGGAGCUUGCUCUUCUUGGAUGAGUUGCGCACGGGUGAGUAACGCGUAGGUAACCUGCCUUGUAGCGGGGGAUAACUAUUGGAAACGAUAGCUAAUACCGCAUAACAAUGGAUGACCCAUGUCAUUUAUUUGAAAGGGGCAAAUGCUCCACGACAAGAUGGACCUGCGUUGUGUUAGCUAGUAGGUGAGGUAACGGCGCACCUAGGCGACGAUACAUAGGCGACCUGAGAGGGUGAGCAGCCACAAUGGGCCUGGGACAAGCCCCAGAACCCUACAGGUCGCACCAGGAGGGAACCCGCGGCAAUGAGUGCAAAUCCGAACCAGCAACGCCGGCUGAGUGGAGAAGAUUCUCGGCUCCUAAAGCUCUGUUGUAAGUCAAGAACGAGUUUGAGGUUGGAAAGAUCCCACUGUGACGGUAGCUAACCAGAAAGCCACGGCUAACUACGUG
rnacentral:rRNA from 1 species